GCCGUCGCUCCGGACACUUCCUCCUGGGCCGCCGCAGCGGAGUUAAACUUUGGAGGGGGAAAAAGAGCCCUGGGCGCCCGGCCACCUUCCUUUGCCCCACCCCCACCCCGCCACCCCACUGCCGCCGGUAACACCCCCUUCUCCGCGGUCCCGACCGAAUUUUUCUCCUACUUCCGAAACCCGUGAGAUUUUCCCACCUUAGCACCCCGGCCCUCGGAAUCCCUUUGCCCAUCCCCGGGCCCGCUGUCGGAUCCCCGGGAUCCACUCGAAUCCCGUCUCUGAGGCUCCUGCUCUCCAUCCCCAAGGUCUGGUGAAUCCCUCGGGCCCCCUUAGAUGAGUCCUCUUAGAGCCACUGUGUUGGCUUCCCCUGCUCCCUUUCCAGUUUCUUCUCUCCCCAUGGCUCCUUUAGAUCCUGAGCUCUUCUGCUCCCCAUGACCCCGACCUGCUAGAUUUUCUUCUUUGGUUUCUUGGAUUCCCCUGGUCGCUGGGUACCCCCAAACCAUUAGCUUUCUACUGUCUGAUCGUCUGUGAUCCCUUGAUUCUCGGGCGGGCAUCUGAUCCACUAGAUAGCUUUUCUCUAUCUCCCAGGGUCUCACCAUCCUCCAGUCCCCUCAACCUGCCAGGUUUCUCUUCUCAGAGCCCCGGGAUCCCCGCGGUCUAACCACCAGCUUACAAGAUUCCUCGGACCCAGUGACCCGAGCCUCUCUGCCCAGGCUCCUCCAGCCGGAUCCCGGGUGGAAGACGGGCGGCUGGUCCCGGGCCUCGCCCUAUGGCCGCCGCCCCCUCCCAUCCCGCUGGGCUCCCGGGCUCUCCCGGCCCAGGGUCUCCUCUGCCCUCCGGCGGCUUGGAACUGCAGUCGCCGCCACCGCUGCUGCCCCAUGUCCCGGCCCCGGGCUCCGGGGUCUCCUUCCACAUCCAGAUCGGGUUGACCCGCGAGUUCGUGCUGUUGCCCACAGCCUCCGAGUUGGCCCAUGUGAAGCAGCUGGCUUGCUCCAUCGUGGACCAGAAGUUCCCCGAGUGUGGCUUCUACGGCCUUUACGACAAGAUCCUGCUCUUCAAACAUGACCCCACGUCAGCCAACCUCCUGCAGUUGGUGCGCUCGGCCGGAGACAUCCAGGAGGGCGACCUGGUGGAGGUGGUGCUGUCGGCUUCCGCCACCUUCGAGGACUUCCAGAUCCGCCCGCACGCCCUCACGGUGCACUCCUACCGAGCGCCUGCCUUCUGCGACCACUGCGGGGAGAUGCUCUUCGGCCUGGUGCGCCAGGGCCUCAAGUGUGAUGGUUGUGGACUGAACUACCACAAGCGCUGCGCCUUCAGCAUCCCCAACAACUGCAGUGGGGCCCGCAAGCGACGCCUGUCAUCCACGUCUCUGGCCAGUGGCCAUUCGGUGCGCCUCGGCACCUCUGAGUCCCUGCCCUGCAUGGCUGAUGAGCUGAGCCGAAGCACCACUGAGCUCAUCCCUCGCCGCCCCCCCUCAUCCUCCUCUUCAUCGUCUGCCUCCUCCUACACCGGUCGCCCCAUCGAGCUGGACAAGAUGCUGCUCUCCAAGGUGAAGGUGCCACACACCUUCCUCAUCCACAGCUACACGCGGCCCACGGUCUGCCAGGCUUGCAAGAAACUCCUUAAGGGCCUCUUUCGCCAAGGCCUACAGUGCAAAGAUUGCAAGUUCAACUGUCACAAACGCUGCGCCACCCGCGUCCCCAAUGACUGCCUGGGGGAGGCGCUCAUCAAUGGAGAUGUGCCGAUGGAGGAGGCCACCGAUUUCAGCGAGGCCGACAAAAGCUCCCUCACAGAUGAAUCGGACGACUCCGGUUUCGUCCCGGGCUCUCACUCGGAAAAUGUUCUCCACGCCAGUGAGGAGGAGGAAGGCGAGGGAGGCAAGGCCCAGAGUUCCCUGGGGUACAUCCCCCUAAUGAGAGUGGUGCAGUCAGUGCGACACACGACACGGAAAUCGAGCACGACACUGCGUGAGGGUUGGGUGGUUCAUUACAGCAACAAGGACACACUGAGGAAGCGGCACUAUUGGCGCCUGGACUGCAAGUGCAUCACGCUUUUCCAGAACAACACAACCAACAGAUACUACAAGGAAAUUCCACUGUCUGAAAUCCUCACCGUGGAGCCUGCCCAGAACUUCAGCCUUGUGCCACCAGGCACCAAUCCACACUGCUUCGAGAUUGUCACUGCCAACGCCACCUACUUUGUGGGCGAAACCCCUGGUGGGGCCCCAGGAGGGCCCAGCGGGCAGGGGGCUGAGGCCGCCCGGGGUUGGGAAACGGCCAUCCGCCAGGCCCUGAUGCCCGUCAUCCUCCAGGAUGCACCCAGCGCCCCAGGCCAUGCGCCCCACAGACAAGCUUCUCUGAGCAUCUCAGUGUCUAACAGCCAGAUCCAAGAGAAUGUGGACAUUGCCACUGUCUACCAGAUCUUCCCCGAUGAGGUGCUGGGCUCAGGCCAGUUCGGAGUGGUCUAUGGCGGAAAGCACCGGAAGACGGGCCGGGACGUGGCGGUAAAAGUCAUUGACAAACUGCGUUUCCCCACCAAGCAGGAGAGCCAGCUCCGGAAUGAAGUGGCCAUUCUGCAGAGUCUGCGGCACCCGGGGAUCGUCAACCUGGAGUGUAUGUUCGAGACGCCGGAGAAGGUGUUUGUGGUGAUGGAGAAGCUGCACGGGGACAUGUUGGAGAUGAUCCUUUCCAGCGAGAAGGGCCGGUUGCCCGAGCGCCUCACCAAGUUCCUCAUCACCCAGGUGCGCCCGCCCCGCCCCCUGCCCCGCCCCGCCCACUGCUCCAUUCCCCGCCCACUUCAGCUUCCCCGCCCAGGCUCCCACCUGCCCUGCAAGAGGCCCCGGAUGGAAGGCAAACGACCCAGAGUGGGAGUCAUAAUAGUGGAUGAUAGGAAAUGUAAUAAUAGGGUAAUAAUAAAAGCAGUCAUAGAAAAAAAUUAGAAUGAUAAUUUUUAAAUAGAGUAAUAAUGGAACAAUUAAUAGAGUAAUAAUAAUAGAUGAAUAACAAUAGAAACAUCCCGGAAUAAUAAGCAAAAAAAUAAUAAAGUGAUAACUAUUAUUAUUAUUAAAAAAUAAACGCUUAUUUUAUAUAUAUUUUUUACUUUAUAUAAUGAGUCAGGCUCCCUAGGCCUGGCUUUAUUCAUGCAGAAAAAAUGGAAGAGGAGAAAGGCCUUUCUCUGGGGAGCUCAUUCAUUCAUUUAUUUAUUAGAUUGCUCAAUAAGCACUGCCUGAGCCCCUGCUCUGUGCCCGGCCCCAUGCAGUGUGAGGACACAGCAGUGACCAAGACAGCCUGGCUCUGGACAGUGAUCACUGAGAGUGGGUUGCUGAUAAUGAUGAAGAUAAAUAAUAUGGUCCCUGACUUUGCUGAGCACUUAGUGUAUGCCAGGUCCUAUUUUGGUUCAUUUAAUCUUCAUAGCAACCGAUGUGGUAGUAGCACAAUUACUCCCGUUGUCCUGAGGCUCAGAGACUUUAAGUAACUGACCCAGGGUCACACAGCUGAUGCGAUUUGAAUCUAGAAGCUGUGCUUUUAACUAGUAACGUCAAACUAAUUUGUGUUAUCCGUGUGUGUGUGUGUGUGUGCAUGCACUUUAGUUGGUUUCGCAUCACAAGUCACACUAUGUUGUUCUGCUUCUUACUUUCCUCACUUUAAUAGGGCUUCUGGAAGACUGUUCUAUUUUAGUACAUAGUUAGCAGAACUGCCUCUUUUUCUUAAUUGCACCCCAUGAUGAAUAUCACCAAAUUCCCCAGGUGCUGAGUAUGUAGAUUGGUUUCACUAUUCCAUUCCUACAAAAAACAUCCUGUGAACAUUCAUCCACAAACAUCAGCGGGCUCUGGUGGGAGAAUUUCAGUAGAACAUGUUUCAAAUAGUAGACUCCUGAGUCCAGGGAAAUGCGCUUUAAAUUUUUAAAAAGGACGUUACCCAGUUGCUGUCUAAAGCCUCUUUCAAUCUUUGUUUUCACCAACAGAGUUUGAGGUUGUCUGUUUUCUCACUCCCUACCAACUCUGGGUAAUAUUAUCAUCAGUCUUAAAGGUGGUAAGAUAAUACUUCAUGUGGCUUCCUUUGUUGGUUUAAAAAUUACGGGUGAGGUUGAGCAUAUUUCACAUAUUUAUUGGACUGUGCUUUAUAUACUCUUUGUCCAUUUUUCAGCUGGAUAAUUCUUUUUUUUUCUUUUUUUUUUCUUUUUGCCAUUUCUCAAGCCGCUCCCACGGCAUAUGGAGGUUCCCAGGCUAAUCGGAGCUGUAGCCACCGGCCUACGCCAGAGCCACAGCAACGUGGCAGGAUCCAAGCCACGUCUGCAACCCACACCACAGCUCACGGCAACACCGGAUCCUUAACCCACUGAGCAAGGCCAGGGAUUAAACCUGCAACCUUAUGGUUCCUAGUCAGAUUUGUUAACCACUGAGCCACAACGGGAACUCCUCAGUUGGAUAAUUCUUAUUGAAUUGUAAGAGCUCUUUGUUUAUGAAGGACACUGGCUCCUCAUUGCUUGUAUUGUUCCCGGCUUUUAUCCCAGUAUUUGUUUUCCUCUUCAUUUUCUUCAGGGCGUUUUCUGGGUUCCAUAGCCUUCCUAGGAAGAGCUUUCUACCUGACUGGUACCACACCUGAUUCUGGGACAUGUACUCUGUUGGUUAUGAAGUCCCCUGUGCUGGCUUCCUUCUUCCAGGCCCAGCACCUUGGCUCUCCCAAGCCUUUGUCAGGGUGGUGUGCGGGUGGGGACAGAAACCCACUGAGGCAGGCUCAUCCAGACUUCAGAUGGGGAAAGAAAACCAAGGUGGUUUCUCUUUCUUUCUGGUCUUUUCUCUCUUCCUCUCUUUUUGCACGUGCUCUUCUCUCUCUCUUUCUCUCUGCAGAUUUCUGCUUUCUGCCUCUUGCCUGCCCCACUCCAAGUCCUGUGCUAAACCCUUUACCUCAUGAAUUUGCCUAGGCCUCACAACCACCUUUGAGAUCCUGGUGGCUUUGAGACACCUUCACUUCAAGAAUAUCGUCCACUGUGACUUGAAACCGGAAAACGUGUUGUUGGCGUCAGCGGACCCAUUUCCUCAGGUGAAGUGUGUGAUUUCGGCUUCGCGCGCAUCAUUGGCGAGAAGUCUUUCCGGCGCUCGGUGGUGGGCACGCCGGCCUACCUGGCGCCCGAGGUGCUGCUCAACCAGGGCUACAACCGCUCACUGGACAUGUGGUCGGUGGGCGUGAUCAUGUACGUCAGCCUCAGCGGCACGUUCCCCUUCAACGAGGACGAGGACAUCAAUGACCAGAUCCAGAACGCAGCCUUCAUGUACCCAGCCUGCCCUUGGAGCCGCAUCUCUGCUGGAGCCAUCGACCUCAUCAACAACCUGCUGCAGGUGAAGAUGCGCAAGCGCUACAGCGUGGACAAGUCUCUCAGUCACCCGUGGUUACAGGAGUACCAGACCUGGCUGGACCUCCGAGAGCUAGAGGGGAAGAUGGGCGAGCGGUACAUCACACACGAGAGUGACGAUGCGCGCUGGGAGCAGUUCGUGGCAGAGCACCCACUGCCCGGGCCGGGGCUACCAGCCUAUGGGGAGCUCGGUGGGACCCUCCCACCCCCGGACCAUGAGAUGCAGGGGCUGGCCGAGCGCAUCAGCGUCCUCUGAGGCCUCAUGCUCCCGCCCUAGCUGCCUCGUGAUGCCGUCCUCCCGUCCUCAGAGAGAGCGGCCCUCCAUGCUAUCCCAGCGAUGAACUGUUCUAGCGGAAGCAGCUUCCUGCCCAAACUGGAUGGGACACGCCCUGGGGGAGGGGCAUGGCGGGGGUGGGAGCGGGGGCCGGGGUUUUUACCAAAGCUAAUUUCCCAACAAUUAAAACGGACUCAUCUCUGGCCCUAUGGCCUUGGUUUCUGGCCACACCGCACUCACAAUCAUUAGUCGGUUGCUCACCAAGAUAGAGUUUACAUGGAGAGAAGAUGGGAUGAAGGCGGGAUGGGAGGGGGUGCCGUGCUGGAAGAAGAGGAGUUUUGGAAGGAGGACUAACUGGGGUAAAGAACAGAAACUGCCAGGAGGGAAGACUAGAAAGGGGAAUGGUAGGGAGGUGCAUAAAGAGGGGAGAGAAGAGAAAUAGAGGAGAGAUGAAAGAAAUCUCAUCAGAGGGGUGAAGGAUUUAGAGGAAAGCAAGUCAUCUCAUGACUUGGUGUUUUGUUUUUCUUCUU